UGGAGAGAGAAAAGAGACAGAAG
rnacentral:miRNA from 1 species